rnacentral:rRNA from 1 species
AUGCAUGCAUCCCUGCACGGAAUCGACCAGGGAGACGUUAAUUCUAUUGUCGUGAUUAAGAUCGGCAAUCGAUUGUGUUCUCAUGAAUGGCCUACGGGAAUUUCUUUAUUGAAAUUGAUCAGAACAGAACACAGGGAAGAUGGAACAACCGUGCGAAGAGAAGCGGGGGCAGGCCGCAGACUAGCGCAGCGGCGCGGCGCGGCCAAAGACGCGGAUCGGCGGUGGUUGAUGACGCCUUCCAUGCCAACCGCCUCGCUGUGCAGCAACGCUGUGACGUCUUCACGGCCGGCGUCGCCCUCGCUGACCACCGCGAAUCCCGGCGCGGAGGCGGUGCCCAGUGCGCUUGCAGCCCUCGGUUCUGACGCGGCCUCGACCCCGCGGCGUCCCGUUCGCCGUGAGGUGAAGUGCUCAGACGGCGCGGCCUCGGCCGGCGUCCGGAGACAACCAAACCAAGGAGGCGGCGGCUGUGGCCCACGGCUCCGAUGUGGAGACAGCGGCCAGCGACCAUAG